UACGUAGGUGGCAAGCGUUGUCCGGAUUUACUGGGUGUAAAGGGCGUGCAGCCGGGAGUGCAAGUCAGAUGUGAAAUCCCGCGGCUCAACCGCGGAACUGCAUUUGAAACUGUGCUUCUUGAGUGCUGGAGAGGCAGACGGAAUUCCUAGUGUAGCGGUGAAAUGCGUAGAUAUUAGGAGGAACACUAGUGGCGAAGGCGGUCUGCUGGACAGUAACUGACGGUGAGGCGCGAAAGCGUGGGGAGCAAACAGG
rnacentral:rRNA from 1 species